rnacentral:rRNA from 1 species
UACGUAGGAGGCAAGCGUUGUCCGGAAUUACUGGGCGUAAAGCGCGUGUAGGUGGUGGGACAAGUCUGCUGUGAAAGCGCCUGGCUUAACCGGGCGAGGUCGGCGGAAACUGUUCGACUUGAGGACGGUAGAGGGGGGUGGAAUUCCCGGUGUAGUGGUGAAAUGCGUAGAGAUCGGGAGGAACACCUGUGGCGAAGGCGGCCCCCUGGGCCGGCCCUGACACUGAGACGCGAAGGCGUGGGGAGCGAACAGG